rnacentral:rRNA from 1 species
GACGGAUAGCUUGGCUUGAGUUGCGAUGAAGGACGUGGCAAGCUGCGAAAAGCCUUGGCGAGCUGCAUGCGAGCUUUGAACCAAGGAUCUCCUAAUGCGAUUACGUUAUCUUUUAGAUAAUUCCGAGAGGAAAGCAUACGCGGGGAAUUGAAACAUCUUAGUACCCGUAGGAAAAGAAAAUAAAUUAAUGAUGCCCCCAGUAACAGCGAGCGAAAAGGGCAAAGGGCAAGCUGAAUCUUUCUUUGAAAAAGGAAUAGAGAUGUGGUGAGGAUAAAUACCUAAGUGCUAUCGUCGAAGUUCACUGGAACGUGAUACUGCAAAGGGUGAUAGUCCCGUAGAUGAUAAUAUAUGGUGUUCCUUAAAAGAGUAAUACUUCCUGGAUUGGAUGUAUGAAUAUGGCAGAAUUAACUGCUAACCCUAAACAUAAACUCAAGUCCGAUAGCGCACUAGUACCGCGAGGGAAAGCUGAAAAGUACUUGUAACAGAGAGUUAAAAGACUUGAAAUCUAACAGUCACAAUUUGUUACGGCAUUACGGUGUUGUAACGUACGUUUCGAAAAAUGGGCCAGGGAGUUAUGUUCUGUGGCGAGACUAACUAAUGGAAGUCGUAGCGAAAGCGAGUGUGAAAACGCGUGAGUCACAGGAGGUAGACCCGAAGCCAGAUGAUCUAAUCAUGAGCAGGGCGAAGUCUUUAGAAAUAGAGAUGGAGGCCCGAACCGUUGUUGUGUGCAUGCACUUGGAUGAUUUGUGAUUAGGGGUGAAAAGCCACUCGAAUCUGGCGAUGGCUGGUUCCGGUCGAAAUAUGCCUCAGUAUAGUCUUAUUUUGCUAGUACACGAGGUAAAGUCACGGAUGGGAUUUGCAGGAUCUAAUGAUUACGGAAUCCUUUCCAACUCAGAAUUUGUGUUCUGCAUAAAAUAAGAAACGGGGGCAGGGCGUAAGGUCCUGUUCCGAGACCCGAACAAGGGAGACUAAAGUUAAGGUCCCAAAAUAUAUGCUAAGUGUAUCGAAAGGAGUCUUAAACCUGAGACACUAGGGAGGUAGGCUCAGAAGCAGCCAUCCUUUAAAGAAAGCGUAACAGCUCACCUAUCGAGGUUUUCGGCCCUGAAAAUGGACGGGGCUAAGCAUAUUACCGAUACUUUAGAGGCACUCAGAUGAGUGUUCUGGUAGACCGGCGUACUGUUUGCGUAGAAGCAUUCUCGAGAGAGAGUGUGGAGCGGAUGGUAAUGAAAAUCCUGGCUGGAGUAGGAUCAAAUUUUCCUGAGAAUGGAAAAGGCCGCAAGAGCACGGUUUCCUUAGCACUAUUUGUUAACUAAGGGUUAGUCAGUACCUUAGAUGUAUCUUAACUGAAUACGUCGAUGGACAUCAGGUUAAUAUUCCUGAACUUUUUUAUUUCGCUAUGUUGAGAAAUUGCUUUCGGAUAGGUAGGGUCGCGGAAGUGGCUUUAGUACAGAAAUCUAUGGAUCGUAAUGAAAAGAAGUAGAAGAAUGUGCUAACGAAAACUAUUGAAUCCAGGAGCCAAUGAAAAGUUUUUCAAAUAGAAAUAAAUCAGCUGUACCAAGAACCAACACAGGUGCUCUAGCUAAGUAGGCUAAGGCCUGAAAGGGAUAAUCUAAUUAAGGGAAUUCGGCAUAUUGGCCCCGUAUCUUCGGUAUAAGGGGUGUCUAUAUACGUUCUUGAUAUGUAAAGAGCGUACGUAGAUCGCAGUAACAAGGACUGCCCGACUGUUUACCAAAAACGUAGCCGAUUGCUAAUCUGAAAAGACUUGUAUAAUCGGUGAGACCUGUCCAGUGGUGGUGUCUGAAACUCCUUUUCAAGGGAGCUAAUGCCCAUUAAACGGCGGGGGUAACUAUGACCCUCUUAAGGUAAAAUAUUACGAUUGCCUUACAUUGAUUUUAAUCAAUGCUUCAAGAGUUGUAGUUAACGUAAGCAGAAUAAACCAAAAUGAAGAAAAUCUAACUAAAUGCUGGAAAAUCUGAGCAUAUUUGAAUACUAAUUGAAAAAUAAAUUCAAAAGUAAAAAUUUCAAAUUGCAGACAAUCAGCAGGAAAGAUUUCUUAAUUAAUUUUAAGAAAAAUCCUCAGAGACUAUACGUUAGACUAAAAGUAAUAUUGCACGUUUUGUGUGAUUAUUGAAUUUUUCUAGGAUUACACCAAAGAAAAAUUUUAAAAAAAUUUAAUGAAAUAAUAUAAUAAAAAUAAAAUAUUUAGCAUUAGAUUUGUUUUAACAAAGAAAUCUGACAAAGUCGAUUUUGAAGCAAUAAUUUGCGAAUGAAGUGAGCAAGAAUAUUUUUAGAAAAUAUAGUCCGAACAUUAUGGCGACAUAAUGAAUUAAUCAGAAAUGAUUAAUCUUCUUUUAAAAUAAAAAUAAAAGAUGUAACAUAAUUGAGCGUAAUACCUUGUCGUCUGAAUGGCGACUUGCAUGAAUGGUUUAACGAGGUAGUCACUGUCCCUAGUUAGAACCUUCUGAAAUCACUGACCGGUGAAAAUGCCGGUGACACCUAGUGGGAAGCUAAGACCUUGUGGACCUUUACUGCAGCUUGUUGUUGUGAUUCUUUGGAUGAUGCAUAGAAUAAGUGGGAGCAUCGAUAUCACUUUUUUGGGAGUGAUGGAGCAAAAUUGUAAUACCACUCACCAUUUUAGGAACCACUAACUCUCGCGAGAGAGGACAGCGGCAUGUGGGCAGUUUGGCUGGGGCGGCACCCUGUAGAAAAUAUAUCUAUAGGGCACUAAGAUGAGCUCAUCCAGGGUGGAAAUCUGGAGUUGAGUGCAUGGGCAAAAGCUCAUCUGACUGUAUUCCGAACAGCAAGGAAUGCAGGAACGAAAGUUGGUCCAAGCGAACCUUCGAGAACAUUUAAUAGGUUCCGAAUGUGACAGAAAAGGUACCCCAAGGAUAACAGGCUUGUCGCGCCCGAUAGUCCGUAUUGACGGCG